rnacentral:rRNA from 1 species
AUUGAACGCUGGCGUCAGGCCUAACACAUGCAAGUCGAGCGGAUUGGCGGACGCGUGCGUUAUAGCUAGGAAGCUGCCUGGUAGCGGGGGAUAACGAUCGCAAACGGACGCUAAUACUCCAUACUAUCAGAUGAGCCUAGGUCGGAUUAGCUAGUGGGUGGGGUAAUGGCUCACCAAGGCUACGAUCCGUAACUGGUCUGAGAGGAUGAUCAGUCACACUGGAACUGAGACACGGUCCAGAUUCCAACGGGAGGCAGCAGUGGGGAAUAUUGGAAAAUGGGCGAAAGCCUGAGCCAGCCGUGCAGCGGGGAUGAAGAAGGUCUUCGGAUUGUAAAGAACUCUAAGUUGGGAGGAGUUAAUCAAAGAAUAAGCAACGGCUAACUCUAUGCCAGCAGCCGCGGUAAUAC